CCGCCAUUAGCUCAUCGGGAUAGAGCGCCAGCCUUCGGAGCUGGUUGCGCGGGGUUCGAGUCCUCGAUGGCGGUCCA
rnacentral:tRNA from 1 species